rnacentral:rRNA from 1 species
UACGUAGGGGGCAAGCGUUGUCCGGAAUCAUUGGGCGUAAAGCGCGUGUAGGCGGCCCGGUAAGUCCGCUGUGAAAGUCGGGGGCUCAACCCUCGGAUGCCGGUGGAUACUGUCGAGCUUGAGUACGGAAGAGGCGAGUGGAAUUCCUGGUGUAGCGGUGAAAUGCGCAGAUAUCAGGAGGAACACCAAUUGCGAAGGCAGCUCGCUGGGACGUUACUGACGCUGAGACGCGAAAGCGUGGGGAGCAAACAGG